rnacentral:rRNA from 1 species
CAGUCGAACGAAGCACCUUGGACAGAAUCCUUCGGGAGGAAGACCAUUGUGACUCAUUGGCGGACGGGUGAGUAACGCGUGGGUAACCUGCCUUGUACAGGGGGAUAACAGUUGGAAACGACUGCUAAUACCGCAUAAGCGCACAGUACCGCAUGGUACGGUGUGAAAAACUCCGGUGGUACAAGAUGGACCCGCGUCUGAUUAGCUGGUUGGUGAGGUAACGGCCCACCAAGGCGACGAUCAGUAGCCGACUUGAGAGAGUGAUCGGCCACAUUGGGACUGAGACACGGCCCAAACUCCUACGGGAGGCAGCAGUAGGGAAUAUUGCACAAUGGGGGAAACCCUGAUGCAGCGACGCCGCGUGAAGGAAGAAGUAUUUCGGUAUGUAAACUUCUAUCAGCAAGGAAGAAAAUGACGGUACUUGACUAAGAAGCCCCGGCUAAAUACGUGCCAGCAGCCGCGGUAAUACGUAUGGGGCAAGCGUUAUCCGGAUUUACUGGGUGUAAAGGGAGCGUAGGCGGCAUGGCAAGUCAGAAGUGAAAGCCUGGGGCUCAACCCCGGAAUUGCUUUUGAAACUGUCAGGCUAGAGUGUCGGAGGGGUAAGCGGAAUUCCUAGUGUAGCGGUGAAAUGCGUAGAUAUUAGGAGGAACACCGGUGGCGAAGGCGGCUUACUGGACGAUUACUGACGCUGAGGCUCGAAAGCGUGGGGAGCAAACAGGAUUAGAUACUCUGGUAGUCCA